rnacentral:rRNA from 1 species
UACGGAAGGCAGCAGGGGGGAAUAUUGCACAAUGGGCGCAAGCCUGAUGCAGCCAUGCCGCGUGUAUGAAGAAGGCCUUCGGGUUGUAAAGUACUUUCAGUCGUGAGGAAGGUGUUAAGGUUAAUAACCUUAGCAAUUGACGUUAGCGACAGAAGAAGCACCGGCUAACUCCGUGCCAGCAGCCGCGGUAAUACGGAGGGUGCGAGCGUUAAUCGGAAUUACUGGGCGUAAAGGGCACGCAGGCGGUUAAUUAAGUUGGAUGUGAAAUCCCCGGGCUUAACCUGGGAAUGGCAUUCAAACUGGUUAGCUAGAGUCUUGUAGAAGGGGUAGAAUUCCAUGUGUAGCGGUGAAAUGCGUAGAGAUGUGGAGGAAUACCGGUGGCGAAGGCGGCCCCUGGACAAAGACUGACGCUCAUGUGCGAAAGCGUGGGGAGCAAACAGGGAUUAGAUACCCGU